GAGACACGUAGUAUAAAGAAGUGGGUGUUGCUUUCGUCAUUUGAUAGUUCGCACUUGUAUCAGAAGGUUGGUACUGUUACUGUACGUUUCGGAGGCUGAUACAAAUUAGCAUCUCUUAUUUUAUUAAACGUACUAGAAGUCAUGUGUUGAUUGUAAUUGAAGUAAUAAAAGGUACCCUCUGUCAAAAUGAUAGGGGGUUUAUUUGUAUACAAUCAUAAGGGAGAAGUACUUAUCUCCAGAGUAUAUAGAGAUGACAUUGGACGAAAUGCAGUUGAUGCAUUUCGUGUUAAUGUUAUCCAUGCCAGACAACAAGUACGCUCUCCUGUUACUAACAUCGCUAGAACAUCAUUUUUUCAUAUAAAACGGGCUAAUAUCUGGUUGGCUGCUGUUACUAAACAAAAUGUUAAUGCUGCAAUGGUUUUUGAAUUUUUAUUAAAAAUCAUUGAUGUUAUGCAAUCAUACUUUGGUAAGAUUUCUGAGGAAAAUAUCAAGAACAACUUUGUGCUAAUUUAUGAAUUAUUGGAUGAAAUUUUGGAUUUUGGAUAUCCUCAGAACUGUGACACUGGAGUAUUAAAAACAUUUAUUACCCAACAAGGUGUUAAAUCAGCAACAAAGGAAGAACAAGCUCAAAUAACUUCACAAGUAACUGGUCAAAUUGGAUGGAGAAGAGAGGGUAUUAAAUAUAGACGGAAUGAAUUAUUUCUUGAUGUACUUGAAUAUGUCAAUCUUUUAAUGAGCCCUCAAGGACAAGUGUUAAGUGCACAUGUUGCUGGGAAGGUUGUAAUGAAAUCUUAUUUAUCUGGAAUGCCAGAAUGUAAGUUUGGAAUCAAUGACAAAAUUGUUAUGGAAGCUAAAGGUAUGAAAGGUGGAAGCGGUUUGGGAGGUGGUGGUGAUGAUCCUACAGGUGCUAGAUCUGGAAAACCUGUGGUUGUAAUUGAUGAUUGCCAAUUUCAUCAAUGUGUCAAGCUUAGUAAAUUUGAGACAGAGCAUGCCAUUAGUUUCAUACCUCCUGAUGGGGAAUUUGAGUUGAUGAGAUAUCGUACCACUAAGGAUAUAUCAUUGCCAUUUCGCGUUAUUCCAUUAGUACGAGAAGUAGGACGUACAAAAAUGGAAGUGAAGGCAGUAUUAAAAUCAAACUUUAAACCUUCUUUGUUGGGACAGAAGAUUGAAGUUAGAGUACCUACUCCUUUAAAUACUGCUGGAGUACAAUUAAUUUGCUUAAAAGGGAAAGCAAAGUAUAAAGCAUCUGAAAAUGCUAUUGUAUGGAAAAUUAAGCGUAUGGCUGGUAUGAAAGAAACUCAGCUAUCGGCAGAAAUUGAUUUACUUGAAACCGAUACGAAGAAAAGAUGGACCCGACCACCAAUAUCUAUGAAUUUCGAAGUACCAUUUGCACCUUCUGGAUUCAAAGUUCGUUAUUUAAAAGUAUUUGAAUCCAAAUUAAAUUAUUCUGAUCAUGAUGUUAUAAAAUGGGUGAGAUAUAUAGGCCGAAGUGGUCUAUAUGAAACACGAUGUUAAUGUAUCAUCGCAUUAAUUGUAAAUGAGUAAUCUCAAGGCAUAAAUACGAUUUUCUCAAAAUCAUCUCUUUAAAGCGCAUAUUUAUAAAACAGUUUUCUGAAAUACUCAGAUUAACUGAUAUAUGAUUAAAAAAAAAAAAAAGAAUAGAUACCAAGAGGGGAAAAUCUUUGUGCCAAUGUUUUUUGUAAUCUGAUUUUUUCGUGUACAUAUUAUAUUUUAUUGUAAUAUGAGUGAGUUCUUUUUAAGAAUCUUUUGUACAACAUUUUAUUCUAUCUGAGUUUUAGUAAAAUUCCUACUUAUGUGAAAAUUAAUAUUGUCAUUUUCAUCGAAUUGUAAAUUUUAAUCUUGAAUGUAAGUGUAUUACAUCAUAUCUCAUUAUAUAUUAAUUGUAUUUUUUAUUCUUUUUAUGAUGAAUAAGAAAAUAUGACCUAAAUUAUGAAAUAAGAAAAUUCAUGACCUCUUUGGUAUCAUUAAAGAAAUUUAAACAUCGCAAUAUUUAAAAUGCGCUCAAGAAGUUUAGAUUAUUGAAAAUAUUUGUUGUCAUUUAUGAAAAUGAAUAGAGAAUAUCCUGAUUCAUUGUAAAGGAAUGAUUUUGUCUCUCUAUGUUAAAAUUCAUAUGCAUAAUAAAUGAGGAGGUCAAGAAUUGUGAUAUCAUCUCAAACUUCUUUUUUGAAAUAAAUUGCGUUUCGAUAAUGCAACUUGUAAAAAUCCGCGAAAUAACUAACGGAUAUAAUUCAAAUUGCAAGUAGAGUCAAAUCAUGUAAGUCAAAUCGACGCGAUUGGAUAUGCGCAAUGAUUCAUUAAUAUCGAUUGAAAUUAAAAUUAAUCUAACGUACUAUUUAAUGUAUAUUUCUUAACUUGUUAUUUGAAUUUUUGCAGUUUAAUAAAUAUUUUUUUAAAUUGGUUUUUUAUAUAAUAA